ensembl:lncRNA
UUUAAUUUAAAAUAUAUAUUUUUGUUUUUAUAUUUAUGUUUUCAUUUUAUUCAUUUUUGUCCUACUUUACCAGAGAAGGUAAAAAAAGAAAGCGCAAAAGGCUGUACAAGUUCUCUCAGCGAUGGACAGCAAGAUGAAAAACCUUCUCAAGAAGUUGGCAGGAACACUUCCAAGAAAGCGGAUCCAGGCUCUAGCACUAAGAAUGUUUUCACGCGGCUGCUGAAAGUGGCUCAGCGUUACCUUUUGGAGUCAGGCAAGCACAGUGCUGCUGCCAGGUCUUCUCCUGCCAAGAAGAGCCCUGCCCUCGGCCCCCUCCCCAAAACCACAACUUCCACCUCCUUCACACAGGCACAGGGUCGAACCAGAAGGAGCAGUAGCAGGCGUUCCCAGAAUUCCACUCUGGGUGUAGCCAAGGAGGAGCAGCUCCCUUCUCAAGAUUCAGAUGGAGGUGCCACUGAAGACAGCUCCAGCUCUUCGGCCUGGCGUGUGAGGUCAGGGCCCGUGGGUAAAGUGGCUCGCAGAAGGAGCCGAGGUCAGUCCGGACGAGGAAGUUCCCUUCUGCUGAAGAAUCGCAGCGCUAGAUCUCAACAGACAGCAGCUCAAACGUUUGUGCGGCCAGAGAGCAGCAACAAUGAUGAAUGUCAAGAAACCCAAAGCAGGUACUGAAUCAUUUACUUUCAAGAUUAAUACAUCUUUGCUUUGUGUAGGCGGAGUGAAGGCAUUUGAUCCUUCAUCAUAAACAUUCGUUCGCCGGUGCUGACAAUAAUUAAUGUGUUUUAACGUUCUCUCUGCUUUGGGAUGGGAUUAAACUGACAGGUUGCCACGUUGCUUUGGUCUGGCAGGUUUUUGUACUCGUUGAAGAGGGGUUAGUUAUAAUGAUGCUUUAAUCUGGACCCAAUCCCUCACAUUCAAAGUGAUUAAUGCAACCGUAUGGAUUCUCUACAGCGGAUAAGGAUUUAAAUGAAAGCACAGGGAACUAUGAAAGGUGAACUUUUAAUGAGGUAAAUGGGAGUUUUAGGGGCUUUUUUCACACCUUUUGAGUGGCGUACCUGUGAAUUGUUUUGAUCUCAGCGAGGAAGUCAAGAAGUUUUGUAAAAAUAAAGUAGUUGUUGGUGGUUGUACA